AGUGAACGCUGGCGGUAGGCCUAACACAUGCAAGUCGAACGGCAGCACAGUAAGAGCUUGCUCUUACGGGUGGCGAGUGGCGGACGGGUGAGGAAUACAUCGGAAUCUACUUUUUCGUGGGGGAUAACGUAGGGAAACUUACGCUAAUACCGCAUACGACCUACGGGUGAAAGCAGGGGAUCUUCGGACCUUGCGCGAUUGAAUGAGCCGAUGUCGGAUUAGCUAGUUGGCGGGGUAAAGGCCCACCAAGGCGACGAUCCGUAGCUGGUCUGAGAGGAUGAUCAGCCACACUGGAACUGAGACACGGUCCAGACUCCUACGGGAGGCAGCAGUGGGGAAUAUUGGACAAUGGGCGCAAGCCUGAUCCAGCCAUACCGCGUGGGUGAAGAAGGCCUUCGGGUUGUAAAGCCCUUUUGUCGGGAAAGAAAAGCAGCAGGUUAAUACCCCGCUGUUCUGACGGUACCCAAAGAAUAAGCACCGGCGAACUUCGU
rnacentral:rRNA from 1 species